ensembl:snRNA
ACUUUCCUUGUCAUGGGGUGAGAGAACUGCUCAAUGAACGCUUGGUGAGAGCAGUCCAGCUGACACCGUAACAACAACACACACGCAUCGCCUGGCGAAUGUCCAGGGUUUGGUGCACUUUUUGGAAAC